ACGCUCGACACCUACAGGAGGCAGCAGUGGGGAAUAUUGCACAAUGGGGGAAACCCUGAUGCAGCGACGCCGCGUGAGCGAAGAAGUAUUUCGGUAUGUAAAGCUCUAUCAGCAGGGAAGAAAGUGACGGUACCUGACUAAGAAGCCCCGGCUAACUACGUGCCGGCAGCCGCGGUAAUCUGAGCGGGCUGGCAAGGC
rnacentral:rRNA from 1 species